UACGUAGGGCGCAAGCGUUGUCCGGAAUUAUUGGGCGUAAAGAGCUCGUAGGCGGUCUGUCGCGUCGGAUGUGAAAGCCCGGGGCUUAACCCCGGGUCUGCAUUCGAUACGGGCAGACUAGAGUGUGGUAGGGGAGAUCGGAAUUCCUGGUGUAGCGGUGAAAUGCGCAGAUAUCGGGAAGAACACCCGUGGCGAAGGCGGCUCUCUGGAACGCAACUGACGCUGAGACGCGAAAGCGUGGGGAGCAAACAGG
rnacentral:rRNA from 1 species